rnacentral:rRNA from 1 species
GAUGAACGCUAGCGGCAGGCUUAACACAUGCAAGUCGAGGGGUAGGGGCCUUCGGGCCUUGAGACCGGCGCACGGGUGCGUAAACGCGUAUGCAAUCUGCCUUCCACAGAGGGAUAGCCCAGAGAAAAUUUGGAUUAAUACCUCAUAGCAUCAUGACCCGGCAUCGGGAUAUGAUUAAAGUCACAACGGUGGAAGAUGAGCAUGCGUCCCAUUAGCUAGUUGGUAAGGUAACGGCUUACCAAGGCUACGAUGGGUAGGGGUCCUGAGAGGGGGAGAUCCCCCACACUGGUACUGAGACACGGACCAGACUCCUACGGGGAGGCAGCAGUGAGGAAUAUUGGUCAAUGGCGCAAGCCUGAACCAGCCAUGCCGCGUGCAGGAUGACGGUCCUAUGGAUUGUAAACUGCUUUUGUACGGGAAGAAACCCUCCUACGUGUAGGAGCUUGACGGUACCGUAAGAAUA